rnacentral:lncRNA from 1 species
CCACUUCUGUAAAAAUCAUAGACUAAACUGAUUCAUCCUUGAAAUGGACAGCAUGCCUUUGGAUGGAAAGGAAUUGGAAUCUGGUAAGACAUUGACUCAUUCAGAAAUUCAGUGCCAUCCCUGCAACUUAGAAGUGUCAGCAUGCUAACGUCACAGGCUCAGGGAAGCAGUGAGCCAGGAGCCAGGAGCAGACUCUUAUUACCAAUGGGGGAGUAUAUUGAACUUUUAUAAUUGGUAGAAUCUCAUACUAGAUGUAGAAAUACCCUUUAAAAAAUCAUAUGGCCAGUCCUGAAUAGCGUUAAAUAUUUUUCAUAGCUCUGUUUAAGGUGCAAGUAGAUUUACAUUCUGUAAAAUCACACAUGUAAUAUUUAUUACACUCUUUCAUCCUCUGUCAUAAAGUUUCUUGAAUAAUUGAGAUCUCUAUUUGAACUUGGCCUGACUCCCUAGGUGCUCUAACUUCCAUUGUUUUCCCACAAACCACACCCUCUUAUUUUGGGUUUAUGAUUUAAGAAGUUUGGAAUCCAGGUUUAAGAUCGAGUUCAAUC